GGGGACGGUAGGGACCAGGAGGAGAUGCUAGGGCGGGCUCAACAUGAGGGGGAACCAUGGUGAAGAGGAGCAAGAGGAAGAGGAAGGAGGAGACGCCCAAGGAAUCGGCCUGGGAGAAGAAAGUAAAGGAACAAAUUGAAAAGGUCAAAUACUACUAUAUUGAAGACAAUGCUGCUGCUUUGGAGCCAAGGUGUGAUUCUGUUGUGCAUUUGGAUGUGCCCCAGGUUAAAGAAGCGACAACAGACAACAAGGGUUUGAGGAUUGAUGAUGUUGAGAAGGAGCUUGGAGCAAAUGGCCAUGGCCUAGAUCAGUGUGAUGUUACAUAGGAUGAGGUUGAUUAUAUUUUUUGCUCUCCCAUGACUUCAACAUUUGCAGAGGAUGACAUCUAUUGCUCUAUCCUAUUGAUUGGAGAUUUAGAGGACACCAUUACCUUUGACCUCAAGCCGUCAGAUGCUAUCAACGUUGCUUUCCGGUGCAAGGUACAUGGAUUUUAUGCCAUACAGAUACAACAUAUGAGCAAAGUUGAUUAAGGUGUAUUCAUGCCCACUUAAGCUGCAGCCGCGCCUCCUACAUCCACCCGCGCCUCCCUGCCCUGCGAGUGGACAAGGACUCUAGGAGUCCAGCUGCGGACUGCUUUUGCCAUGGCGGACGACGGCCGCCACAAAGGAUGUACAGGACGGCUGAGAACUGCUUCUUCAGGGUUUGAGUUAGUGAAUCCUUGCAAAGGUCAGUGCGCCCUCCUUCCACUCACUGGUCUCUCAUGGAAUUGCUAUUUAGAGACUUUUAGCUGAUGGUUUGAUGAUUACAUAUUCAGACUAACUCACAAUGAAGCGACAGAUUUCUCAGGUCCUCUAAGUAUGUCUUGCAUGUUCUUUGUCCUGACAAAACUUAAGAAUUUGCUGAUUGAAGUUUUAUCAGACACGAGGUAGUUUUAUUUUUUUUUCCAGGAAAAUUCGUGAUGAGCAAGAAAGUGCUGUAUUGUUUUCUCUACUGUCUUUUGUUUUGGUGGUUUAUAUGGCAGACCCAUCAAUUCAGUAGGAACAACUAUGUAGACCAUAGAUCAUAGCUUGCCCUAUGCUGCUAUUAUAAAUUGAAAAUUCAGUACAAUUUGUCCUCUUUAAAUUUGAAAUUUCAUAAUUUGCUGACAGUUCAAUGCCUUCAUUUGACACCAUCUGAACUUAAAGCAAAGCUGGUUAUGACAAUCUCUGAAUGGUACAUUAUAUUAUUUACGCCUGGAAAAUUGACAACAUUGGCUUUACAUAUAGUUUAAUAUUAUAAUUUAAGGUCCAAGUUUCUUUUUGGAAAAUUGACUGUGCCUGUACCUUUGCCUCUAUCAAUCUUGUGUGCUGAAGAUCCUAAUGGUGGCAUGAAUUAAUUUCUUUUGGUUAACAUUGUAUGCCAGAGAUAAAUGCUGUUACUGUUCAAGUUAGUUUAAAUAAUUCAUGUUGUAAUCUUCAAAAUUUCUACAUCUCACACUGGAUGCUUUAGUUUUUAUCUGCUUCUUGUUUGUCAGUCACACUGGAUUGUAAUAUAGCUUCAAUUUGUUUCUGGUAAGUUUAACGUAUAUCUUUCUCACUAAUCAAUCGCUGAUUCCAUAUAGCUAAAAGGUGAACUAAUUUGGGACUUAUUUGUUCAUUUGAAGGGACAAACCAGCUUUUGGCCAUUCAAUUACCAUCUGUGAGACAGUGAGAGCAUCACUGCGGUAGGCGAAAACCUUUGAGAUAUUAGGCACAUUGGUUGACUGUGUCUCAUUGGCGUCAUCUGGGAGGCCAUUUCCUUGGUCAGUGCCAGCUCUGGUCAUCAGCGCCAGUAAUGCAGGACCAAAUUGUGGAUACGUAAUGUUCCACUCUUCUGCCAUUGCUUUCUGGCUGCAAGGGAGGCCUUAGUGUGUGGUGUUCCUUCAACUGCACUCUCAUUCAAUUAGUGAGCAUGCCUCGAACUGGAAGAGGCUAAGGCGUUGGGCAUGAUGGCUGUUCCAUUGUAGUUGAGGAGGCGCAGAGCAGAGGAGAUCCCAUGGGAGAUGCCUGACUGCCAGGCUUGGCAAACAUAUGGUUCGAGAGAGCAUUUCAAACAUUAUCAUUACGCUUGUACUGAGAUGGUAAUGCCAAUGUCUUUGCAGUGAAGACAGGAGCAUGUAUUCGUAUUCGGAGGAUUGUAUAAAAAACUAUGGUGUCAGGCCAAGUUCUCGGUGGAUUACUACAGAGUUUGGUGGGCAACUGGGCAUGAUCUUCAUCUUUUUUCUUCCUUGUCUGAAUAUGCUAAGGGUGAGAUCUGUAUUGGCCUUUUGCACCCUGAUUUCACUGUGCUAUUCAAGAUGUCAGAGUAAGAUUGAAAGUUUCAAUCAGGUUUGGAGAGAAACACUGAGAUGAUGGAGAAGGAAAUCAGCACUUUGGGGCCAGGGAAGUCACACAAUCAAGAUAGCCGGAAUUUUCUAGAGCUGAUAAUUAUUUCUUUUGUUCUUUUUCAAUUUGUUUACCUUUUCUUUCAUAUUACAUAAUACUAAUUUCUGGUUACCUUUAUUUUCUUUGUUUGUGUGAUGGAUCUUGCAUAGAUAUGAAGAAGUCAAGCAUUCAUUGGCAAAUCUUGCAUGCUCAAAAUAGCUAAUGCUUGAUCAAGAGAGCUGCGUGUCAUUUCAUUUAAGAUAGAGAGAAAAAAGAGUACAUAGAGAGGGGGAGAACCCCAGACUAAGUACAGCAGGACUAAAACUUCAGGAUAGUGUAAGUUAAUAAAGAUUCUUUUGCCUAAGAUUUAGCUACUACUAUGUCAGCAAUAUGUGCUUCUCUGCAACGUGUUAAGUGUUAAUUCUAUGAACAAUCACGCCAUUUGAUUUGAAGAAGGUUACGUAGUCUUUAAUCUUUUGUGUCAGUAGUGUGGUACAGUUUUUUCACCAAUGGUACGUCGAUGUCCAGCUCAAUGAAUUCAGUAUGUGAUGUUAUAUAAUGGCAAUCGACUUUGAGUUUUUUAGGUAAAUGGAUAGGUUCAGUUUUUCAUUAUCAAAUAGGGAUAGACUAAAGGAAAAUAUAUUACAUAUCAAUAAAUCGAACUCCCAGUUUUCAGGAUGUAGUGAUGAUGUGUAACUUCAGCACAUAACACAAAACAGAUUAGUCGGCUGUCUAACAAGAUUGUGCAGCAUUUGUCUUGCUCACUGAAUGCACAUUGACUUGGUAAGAACUGGGCAAGAGAACAUAAGGAAAAAGCAUGAGGUAAAUGUGCUAUUUCUUUUUUGAGUUGUAAUUGUGUAGCAUUGCUCCUGAGUGAAAAUUAGUGAGGCAUGUAUCAUAAACAGCUAUAGAGGUUUGUUUGCUACAGUAUGCUUAGCAAAAAAAUUUGUCUUUUGAAAAAUAGCAAGUUCGAUUAUUAUUAUUAUUUAGUUUGUGAGAGAAAUUUGGUUGAAAGAGAACAUAACAUUUGAUUUGUCCAUGUUCUGGAAUUUCUAGAUUCCUGAGCAUUGCUUACCUUGGUUAUAAAUGGAUACAUUGUAAUUCUUGUUAUCUUUCUUGUGAAAUUUAUAUGAUAACUUGGGUUCAGUUUGAUGGAACAACUUUUAUUGUACAUGGAAGCAUGGCCUCUGAAAAUUGUCAUAUAAUAUUGAGGUAAAGAAGCAAGCCCUAAACAACCACUCUCAGGCUUCUGUUUUAAUCCGUUGUAGCAGCAAACUGGUAGCAGUAGUAGAUCAAGGAUGUAAUAGCAAUUACAUCUAAGAAAGGUUACCCAAUUUUCCUGUAGUCAUGUUCAUUGUGUGGCUGACCCACUGAGCUCUCUUGUGCUUGCUUAUGUUUUGUUCAGAUAUGUCAUAAUUCCUCAGUGAUGCUGUACUGCUGUUCAGAUUUAGAAAGGAGUCAAGCACUUCCUGGACAACAAGAACUCGCUGACACCUUACAGCUGCUAGACUGGCAUUUGGUCCAUGCUAAGUUCUGCAUCGGCGACAGAAUCUGUGCUGAUUUAAUCGCCAUGGCUUCUAGCAAUUCUGUACAACAUUUCUCCUAAAUAUGCAAGGCAAUGGAAAUAAUGUCUUUCAUCUCUGCAAGAUCUAAUAGGAUGCAGCUAUCAAAGUAAAUUUAAGCUGACACAUAUCAAUAUGAGUUGAAUAUAUCAUCAGUACAUUUAGUUUCUAAUGGACAUCAUGUACACAAUCUCGUGCUGCAAGGUGUGCUAAUAACUAAUUGUACUAGAAGCUACAUGCAGUAAUACUUUUACCACGUAUUACAAGCUGCAAGGUGUGAUUCUUGUAUUUUGAACUAUUUUUGUGUACUGAAUAAGGACUUCUGAUUUUGUUA